rnacentral:piRNA from 1 species
UGAUUUGCUUUCAGUUUGCUUCUGCUGCUC